rnacentral:rRNA from 1 species
GCGUGCCUAAUACAUGCAAGUCGAGCGAGCGGAACCAGCAGAUUUACUUCGGUAAUGACGUUGGGAAAGCGAGCGGCGGAUGGGUGAGUAACACGUGGGGAACCUGCCCCUAAGUCUGGGAUACCAUUUGGAAACAGGUGCUAAUACCGGAUAAUAAAGCAGAUCGCAUGAUCAGCUUUUGAAAGGCGGCGUAAGCUGUCGCUAAGGGAUGGCCCCGCGGUGCAUUAGCUAGUUGGUAAGGUAACGGCUUACCAAGGCGACGAUGCAUAGCCGAGUUGAGAGACUGAUCGGCCACAUUGGGACUGAGACACGGCCCAAACUCCUACGGGAAGGCAGCAGUAGGGAAUCUUCCACAAUGGACGCAAGUCUGAUGGAGCAACGCCGCGUGAGUGAAGAAGGUUUUCGGAUCGUAAAGCUCUGUUGUUGGUGAAGAAGGAUAGAGGUAGUAACUGGCCUUUAUUUGACGGUAAUCAACCAGAAAGUCACGGCUAACUACGUGCCAGCAGCCGCGGUAAUACGUAGGUGGCAAGCGUUGUCCGGAUUUAUUGGGCGUAAAGCGAGCGCAGGCGGAAAAAUAAGUCUAAUGUGAAAGCCCUCGGCUUAACCGAGGAACUGCAUCGGAAACUGUUUUUCUU